rnacentral:rRNA from 1 species
UACGUAGGGUGCGAGCGUUGUCCGGAAUUACUGGGCGUAAAGAGCUCGUAGGUGGUUUGUCGCGUUGUUCGUGAAAACUCACAGCUCAACUGUGGGCGUGCGGGCGAUACGGGCAGACUAGAGUUCGGUAGGGGAGUCUGGAAUUCCUGGUGUAGCGGUGAAAUGCGCAGAUAUCAGGAGGAACACCGGUGGCGAAGGCGGGACUCCGGGCCGAUACUGACGCUGAGGAGCGAAAGCGUGGGGAGCAAACAGG